GACGAACGCUGGCGGCGUGCCUAAUACAUGCAAGUAGAACGCACAGUUUAUACCGUAGCUUGCUACACCAUAGACUGUGAGUUGCGAACGGGUGAGUAACGCGUAGGUAACCUGCCUGGUAGCGGGGGAUAACUAUUGGAAACGAUAGCUAAUACCGCAUAAUAUUAAUUAUUGCAUGCUAAUUAAUUGAAAGGUGCAAUUGCACCACUACCAGAUGGACCUGCGUUGUAUUAGCUAGUAGGUGAGGUAACGGCUCACCUAGGCGACGAUACAUAGCCGAGCUGAGAGGGUGAUCGGCCACACUGGGACUGAGACACGGCCCAGACUCCUACGGGAAGCAGCAGUAGGGGAUCUUCGGCAAUGGACGAAAGUCUGACCGAGCAACGCCGCGUGAGUGAAGAAGGGUGUCGGAUCGGAAAGCUCUGUUGUAAGAGAAGAACGGGUGUGAGAGUGGAAAGUUCACACUGUGACGGUAUCUGACCAAAAAGAGACGGCUAACUACGUG
rnacentral:rRNA from 1 species